GGGGAUUUAGCUCAGUGGUAGAGUGCUUGCCUAGCAAGUACAAGGCCCUGGGUUCAGUCCCCA
rfam:Rattus norvegicus chromosome 5, whole genome shotgun sequence.